AGGUAAGCUACUAAGAGCGAAUGGUGGAUGCCUUGACUGGUAAAGGCGAUGAAGGACGUACUAGACUGCGAUAAGCUACGGGGAGCUGUCAAGAAGCUUUGAUCCGUAGAUUUCCGAAUGGGGCAACCCAAUGUAUAGAGAUAUACAUUACCUAUAUAGGAGCGAACGAGGGGAAUUGAAACAUCUUAGUACCCUCAGGAAAAGAAAUCAAUAGAGAUUGCGUCAGUAGCGGCGAGCGAAAGCGCAAGAGGGCAAACCCAGUGCUUGCACUGGGGGUUGUAGGACUGCAAUGUGCAAGAGCUGAGUUUAGCAGAACAUUCUGGAAAGUAUAGCCAUAGAGGGUGAUAGUCCCGUAUGCGAAAAACAAAGCUUAGCUAGCAGUAUCCUGAGUAGGGCGGGACACGAGGAAUCCUGUCUGAAUCCGGGUCGACCACGAUCCAACCCUAAAUACUAAUACCAGAUCGAUAGUGCACAAGUACCGUGAGGGAAAGGUGAAAAGAACUGAGGUGAUCAGAGUGAAAUAGAACCUGAAACCAUUUGCUUACAAUCAUUCAGAGCCCUAUGUAGCAAUACAGGGUGAUGGACUGCCUUUUGCAUAAUGAGCCUGCGAGUUGUGGUGUCUGGCAAGGUUAAGCAAACGCGAAGCCGUAGCGAAAGCGAGUCUGAAUAGGGCGCUUAGUCAGAUGCUGCAGACCCGAAACGAAGUGAUCUAUCCAUGAGCAAGUUGAAGCUAGUGUAAGAACUAGUGGAGGACUGAACCCAUAGGCGUUGAAAAGCCCCGGGAUGACUUGUGGAUAGGGGUGAAAGGCCAAUCAAACUUCGUGAUAGCUGGUUCUCUCCGAAAUAUAUUUAGGUAUAGCGUUGUGUCGUAAUAUAAGGGGGUAGAGCACUGAAUGGGCUAGGGCAUACACCAAUGUACCAAACCCUAUCAAACUCCGAAUACCUUAUAUGUAAUCACAGCAGUCAGGCGGCGAGUGAUAAAAUCCGUCGUCAAGAGGGAAACAACCCAGACUACCAGCUAAGGUCCCUAAAUCUUACUUAAGUGGAAAACGAUGUGAAGUUACUUAAACAACCAGGAGGUUGGCUUAGAAGCAGCCAUCCUUUAAAGAAAGCGUAAUAGCUCACUGGUCUAGUGAUUUUGCGCGGAAAAUAUAACGGGGCUAAAGUAAGUACCGAAGCUGUAGACUUGCACACAACUUAGAUUAUUUAAGUUUAGAAUAUGAGAAACUAAGUUAUAUGUUUAGUUAUAUUUUUACUGAUUUUUAUAGAGUAAAGAUAGAAAUAAAACUUAGUAAAAUCAGUAAAAAUAUUCUUAGGCUAAAGUUAAGUAGUUUAAGUUGUGUGCAAGUGGUAGGAGAGCGUUCUAUUUGCGUCGAAGGUAUACCGGUAAGGAGUGCUGGAGCGAAUAGAAGUGAGCAUGCAGGCAUGAGUAGCGAUAAUUAAUGUGAGAAUCAUUAACGCCGUAAACCCAAGGUUUCCUACGCGAUGCUCGUCAUCGUAGGGUUAGUCGGGUCCUAAGUCGAGUCCGAAAGGGGUAGACGAUGGCAAAUUGGUUAAUAUUCCAAUACCAACAUUAGUGUGCGAUGGAAGGACGCUUAGGGCUAAGGGGGCUAGCGGAUGGAAGUGCUAGUCUAAGGUCGUAGGAGGUUAUACAGGCAAAUCCGUAUAACAAUACUCCGAGAACUGAAAGGCUUUUUGAAGUCUUCGGAUGGAUAGAAGAACCCCUGAUGCCGUCGAGCCAAGAAAAGUUUCUAAGUUUAGCUAAUGUUGCCCGUACCGUAAACCGACACAGGUGGGUGGGAUGAGUAUUCUAAGGCGCGUGGAAGAACUCUCUUUAAGGAACUCUGCAAAAUAGCACCGUAUCUUCGGUAUAAGGUGUGGUUAGCUUUGUAUUAGGAUUUACUCCGAAAGCAAGGAAACUUACAACAAAGAGUCCCUCCCGACUGUUUACCAAAAACACAGCACUCUGCUAACUCGUAAGAGGAUGUAUAGGGUGUGACGCCUGCCCGGUGCUCGAAGGUUAAUUGAUGGGGUUAGCAUUAGCGAAGCUCUUGAUCGAAGCCCGAGUAAACGGCGGCCGUAACUAUAACGGUCCUAAGGUAGCGAAAUUCCUUGUCGGUUAAAUACCGACCUGCAUGAAUGGCGUAACGAGAUGGGAGCUGUCUCAAAGAGGGAUCCAGUGAAAUUGUAGUGGAGGUGAAAAUUCCUCCUACCCGCGGCAAGACGGAAAGACCCCGUGGACCUUUACUACAGCUUGACACUGCUACUUGGAUAAGAAUGUGCAGGAUAGGUGGGAGGCUUUGAGUAUAUGACGCCAGUUGUAUAUGAGCCAUUGUUGAGAUACCACUCUUUCUUAUUUGGGUAGCUAACCAGCUUGAGUUAUCCUCAAGUGGGACAAUGUCUGGUGGGUAGUUUGACUGGGGCGGUCGCCUCCCAAAUAAUAACGGAGGCUUACAAAGGUUGGCUCAGAACGGUUGGAAAUCGUUCGUAGAGUAUAAAGGUAUAAGCCAGCUUAACUGCAAGACAUACAAGUCAAGCAGAGACGAAAGUCGGUCUUAGUGAUCCGGUGGUUCUGUGUGGAAGGGCCAUCGCUCAAAGGAUAAAAGGUACCCCGGGGAUAACAGGCUGAUCUCCCCCAAGAGCUCACAUCGACGGGGAGGUUUGGCACCUCGAUGUCGGCUCAUCGCAUCCUGGGGCUGGAGCAGGUCCCAAGGGUAUGGCUGUUCGCCAUUUAAAGCGGUACGCGAGCUGGGUUCAGAACGUCGUGAGACAGUUCGGUCCCUAUCUGCCGUGGGCGUAAGAAGAUUGAAGAGAUUUGACCCUAGUACGAGAGGACCGGGUUGAACAAACCACUGGUGUAGCUGUUGUUCUGCCAAGAGCAUCGCAGCGUAGCUAAGUUUGGAAAGGAUAAACGCUGAAAGCAUCUAAGCGUGAAGCCAACUCUAAGAUGAAUCUUCUCUAAGCUCUCUAGAAGACUACUAGUUUGAUAGGCUGGGUGUGUAAUGGAUGAAAGUCCUUUAGCUGACCAGUACUAAUAGAGCGUUUGGCUUAUCUUU
rnacentral:rRNA from 1 species